CUAAAAAAAAGAAAUCAAGCCACGGAAGAGCUUUGCAUCCAGAUCCAGCCAGCCAUGAAGCCACGAGCCUGUUCCACCGCCGCCCCCAGCCGCCGUCAGCACCGCACGCACCCCUGAGCACACCCCGCCUGCCGUCCCCGAGCGCCCUGCCCGCCGCCAUGCGCUGCCCCUUGCUGCACCAUCACCGCCGGGCUUCGCCGCUGCCGACUCCUGCCAUGGCGCGCCCCCAAGCGCCCCGGCCGCCGCCAUGCGCUUCCCCUUGUUGCGCCAUCACCGCCGGGCUUCGCCGCUGCCGACUCCUGCCAUGGCGCGCCCCUAAGCGCCCCGGCCGCCGCCAUGCGCUUCCCCUUGCUGUGCCAUCCCUGCCGGGCUUCGCCGCUGCCGACCACUGCCAUGGCUCCCACGGCGCCGUCUUCGACGUCGUGUUUACGCGCGCCCCCGUCCGAACCACGACCAUCUGAUUCGUUGGCCCGUCGCAUCUAGCCCACUGUCGUUGGGAUGGCCCAGCCCACCAAGUGUAGUCCGUCUUGUGUCGUCCUGGGAGUCGUGAGUGUUCCUCCGCUGCCAAUUCAGUGAUUUAUUCCGCCGUCGCUCCACCUCCGCCCACGCUAAGUAACCGCAGCCUUCACUCCCUUCUCAUUUACGGCAGAAACGACAACCUGAAUUUGAGGGGACUUUGGGUCGGUCUUAAUGGCGACCGCUCUGUUUAGUCCCUUCUUCCACGCUGUUCUUCCUCACCCCUACGUCUGCCCAGAACUACCGAAUUCCAGGAGCCAUUUCAAGGGAUUUCCGUGCCACUUUCUCAAAUUGAUCUGUGUUUCUGAAGUUAGAACGCACCAGCAGCAAGCGGAAUUAUGUCGUAUUUCUGUGCGAAUUGAUUUCAUCCAUAUCAGCGAACUCUCUCCUGGCGGUAUGUACUCAAGAUCUUUUUUUGUGUUAUCCUUUUGUCUUAUAAAAUUUUGAUAUCUACAUCUUUCUGCUGUUUUAUAUGCACAUGCAUCAUAAGAUACAAGUUUAUGUCCAUGCCAAAAAGACAAUUGGAUCGCAGUUGAGUCAAAUAAAUAUUAUAGGAUAUCAAAGAGAAGUAAAUAUGCUCAUUCCUGUUUGAUACUACUGAUUUUGAAGUAAAUGUGUGAUUGGAAAAGUAAACAUAUGUAGCACUGCGGUAGUCCGGCAGGAUCAAGGCAGCAAGGGGAUAAAAGAUAGGGUUCUUAUUACCUUUGAUACAUUCUCAAUUUUGGCUAAGACUGUGAAGAUAUGCCCACAGGAAGAGGGAAAAAUAAAAAUAAAAACAUCCUUGGUCUAACUUGAUUAACAUCCCUGUUCCAUCAAAUUAUUUUUAUGUUUUAGAGUUCGCCUAACUUUCAGUCGGUUUCAUCCUCCACCCUGUCGGCUCAUAUUCUUCUUUCUUAGUCGUUGCUCAAUAUUCAAGCUUUAGGGAGCAGCAAAGUACAUCCACGAUCUUUCCAUCCUCUUCUCUUUGCUUUGGAUGAUAACCAUUUUUACUGCAGGCCUUUUAAGUGGAUCCUAAAUCCUAAUGCUUGCCUUCUGACUGAAUGUUGUGCAAGGAGACAAAUGACUGCCUUUUAGACUGCAGGAAAUGAAUCACAUGGUUAUGGCAUUGCUGGGUGUUCUACGGUAUCCUCUCACCUGUGUACAUAGAGUCACUCAUCUAAACUGUGUGUUGAUGGAUCAUCUGCAAUAUAUAUCAUCAACUCCUUUAAUUGGAUCCAGUUAACCUCCAUUUGGUGCUUCUACAGUUCUAUCUGGUUCAACCUUGAAUUUAUUUUUAAUAUAUGCAUUACGAUGAAGUCCUUCUUUUUGGCCAGUGAUGCUAUUUGCAUUGUGGUGUUAACAUUUUUUUGUCAUCUCAUUCAUUUUGUACGAUUGAGCAGGUUGCUCAUUCAACAAGAGAGAAGCAUGUGCAGUGGUGAAUUUUGACAUGCAGAAGCAGAAUCUUCUUUUGCCCCCGUUUUACAAUUUUGGAUCUCCUUUUGUUAAUCCUUUAUUACAUUUUCUGUCAUGUUUUAUUCUCUCUCAACACCUAAUAAAUUUAUGCCAAAUAUUCAAAUGGAGUCCUGUGUAGAUCGAGAAAGUGUUUGUAUGUCAAACUCUCUAUAUCUUGGACAUUUGUUGAGGUUGUAUGUAAUUGAUGGUUUUGUGCUGUACACAUAUGACAUAUGUAGUUUCUAUUGUUCUAAUAUAUGGAAUGUUCAUCUUUACUAAA